rnacentral:misc_RNA from 1 species
AGUAGACCUACAACAAGUAGUUUUCAAUAUGUUUAUUUGGAGUAUAACAUUAAUUUGCCUAUCAUUUCUAAAGCACAAUUGGGCCUCUCUAUCAGUCGACAUCGAUGAUGACUUUCGCGAGUGUGGAAAUGGGCUACCUUAUCCAGCGAUUGAUUUUUCAAAUUUCCAAAUAAUACCGGAAGAAGACGGUUCCAUGACGAUGAAUGGCUCCGUUCAGUUCACAGGAGAUUUUGAAAGUCCUACCAGACUUCGUCUCUACUCGAAAAAGCUUGAACGGGGCGAAUGGGUUCCAGGAUUCUUAAAUCGAGAGGUCCUUAACAUGUGUCCGCUGCUGCAGUUACCACACGAAAUCUGGUACCCGUUCACCAGUAUAAUGAAACAGAAGUCGUGCCCUUACAGGGCCGGGCACAUCGAGCCAGUGAAUUCCAUUAACAUUGGAAACUAUGCCGAAAUACUAAACCUACCGCCGUCGUUUAUUGGCGAAUGGAGAGUUUACUACGAGGUCGCUACAACUCGGAAACGGAAGCGUGUAAUGCAGUGCUUGAUGGUCCUGAUGACCAUUACGGAAGUGUAAUUUGGAACAUCUUUGUGCUCGAAUAUUGUCAGUAUUUUCUCACACCACAGCUAGGAAGGCACUUCGACGGACAUUGACAAACAACCAGUAAUGAUCGCGUGAUCAAACUUAAUCGCACCAACGUGACACUUGUUACAGGUAAUCGUAACUAAACUAAUAAAAUCGGAAAUGUUUUGAUUCGUAUCGACCUUUUGUAUCAUGUUUGUCGAUGGUUCAUUCCUCAAGUGCACCUUCAAUAGAACUAAUAUCAAAAUGGUGUUGAGUGGGAUUUUACUAAUUUGGAUAUUACAUUUACAAUACUGUUUGGCCUCUUUAUCGAUCGACAUCGAUGAUGACUUCCGCGAGUGUGAAAAUGAAUUACCGUUUCCGGCGCUGGAUUUCUCAAACUUUCAAAUAAUACCAGAAGAAGAUGGAUCCAUGACGUUGAAUGGAUCGGUGCGAUUCACAGGGAAUUAUGAAAGUCCA